AAACGCUUGAAGUCAGUCGCGUUAGUUGGGGAUCAGCCUUCCUUUUGGUUGGUGUACUUCCCAGUUGACGGGUCAGCAUCAGUUUUGACCAGUGGAUAAAAGCUUGAGGAAUGUGGCAUCUUCGGGGAGUGUUAUAGCC
rnacentral:rRNA from 1 species